GACGAACGCUGGCGGCGUGCUUAACACAUGCAAGUCGAACGGAAAGGCCCUGCUUUUGUGGGGUGCUCGAGUGGCGAACGGGUGAGUAACACGUGAGUAACCUGCCCUUGACUUUGGGAUAACUUCAGGAAACUGGGGCUAAUACCGGAUAGGAGCUCCUGCUGCAUGGUGGGGGUUGGAAAGUUUCGGCGGUUGGGGAUGGACUCGCGGCUUAUCAGCUUGUUGGUGGGGUAGUGGCUUACCAAGGCUUUGACGGGUAGCCGGCCUGAGAGGGUGACCGGCCACAUUGGGGCUGGGAUACGGCCCAGACUCCAACGGGAGGAAGCAGUGGGGAAUAUUGCACAAUGGGCGGAAGCCUGAUGCAGGAACGCCGGGUGCGGGAUGACGGCCUUCGGGUUGUAAACCGCUUUCGCCUGUGACGAAGCGUGAGUGACGGUAAUGGGUAAAGAGGCACCGGCUAAUUACGU
rnacentral:rRNA from 1 species